GACUCGGUAGCUUAGUUGGUAAAGCACUUGUCUAGCGAAUAAGGGUCGUGAGUUCAAAUCUCACCUGAACUG
rnacentral:tRNA from 1 species